rnacentral:rRNA from 1 species
ACCUUGACUGUGCUAAGGUAGCAUAAUAAAUUGACUUUUAAUUGGGGCCUUGAAUGAAAGGAUUAAUGGACAAUAGCUGUCUAUAUUAAUAAUUAUAAGUUACUUAGAAGGUGAAAAUUCCUUUAUUUAAAUAAUAGACGAGAAGACCCUAGGAGUUAUUAAUUUUGUUGGGGCGACAGUGUAGCAUUAAACCUACAUAAAUAUAAUUAUUUAACGAAUAAUAUUAAUUAAAAAUAAACUACCCUAGGGAUAACAGCAUAAUUUAUUUAAGUUUGUGACCUCGAUGUUGGAUUAGGGACUUUUAAAGUUAACAGCGUUAAUUGGUAGUUCUGUUCGAAC